rnacentral:rRNA from 1 species
UACGAAGGGGGCUAGCGUUGCUCGGAAUGACUGGGCGUAAAGGGCGCGUAGGCGGAUGGUACAGUCAGAUGUGAAAUUCCCGGGCUUAACCUGGGGGCUGCAUUUGAUACGUGUUGUCUGGAGUGAGGAAGAGGGUCGUGGAAUUCCCAGUGUAGAGGUGAAAUUCGUAGAUAUUGGGAAGAACACCGGUGGCGAAGGCGGCGACCUGGUCCUUGACUGACGCUGAGGCGCGAAAGCGUGGGGAGCAAACAGG